rnacentral:rRNA from 1 species
CUAUGCGCCUUGCCAGCCCCGCUCAGAAACUUAAAUGUAAUUGACGGGGACCCGCACAAGCGGUGGAUGAUGUGGUUUUAAUUCGAUGCAACGCGAAAAACCUUACCCACCUUUGACAUGUACGGAAUCCUUUUAGAGAUAGAGGAGUGCUCGAAAGAGAACCGUAACACAGGUGCUGCAUGGCUGUCGUCAGCUCGUGUCGUGAGAUGUUGGGUUAAGUCCCGCAACGAGCGCAACCCUUGUCAUUAGUUGCUACAUUUAGUUGGGCACUCUAAUGAGACUGCCGGUGACAAACCGGAGGAAGGUGGGGAUGACGUCAAGUCCUCAUGGCCCUUAUAGGUGGGGCUACACACGUCAUACAAUGGAUGGUACAAAGGGUCGCCAACCCGCGAGGGGGAGCCAAUCCCAUAAAACCGAUCGUAGUCCGGAUCGCAGUCUGCAACUCGACUGCGUGAAGUCGGAAUCGCUAGUAAUCGUGAAUCAGAAUGUCACGGUGAAUACGUUCCCGGGCCUU